AGUAAAGUAAGCUAAACAAGCUUUUGGGCCCAUACCCCGAAUAUGUCGGUGAAAAUCCUUCCUUUACUA
rnacentral:tRNA from 1 species